rnacentral:lncRNA from 1 species
CUCGACCUUUUUAGAGCUAAAUACAAUAGUAGAUUUAAAUAAUAUAACUGAUGGAGUGAGCGUAGCCACCAAAAUGGUUGGUCUUCAGUUAGGAUCUCCGUAGCAGCAUUCUAAAAACAGAAUUAGUUAGAGAAAAGACACAACAUAGAAAUUUUGAACAAAAAACAAUUAAUCCAGUGGAAGUUUUCUCUGCCAAGAAACUUAUUCUUAAUUACCUAUAAAAAAAGGAGUUUGUGUUAAUUUAUUAGCUCGGUGUUAAGU